AUGUACAUGAUCAGGAUGAGAUACUGAACAACAUAUAACAGUUUUUCUUUUGGGGGGAUGAUCUGAAAGGCUGAGGACAUAGUGAAGGAAAACACACAAGGCUCAUACUGCAGAUCUCAGAUAAUUAUGAUCCGGUCACGAUGCUACAAGAAGCAGAAAACUACCACAGUCCUCCUUUGGAUCCUCAAUUUUUUGUAUUUUAUGUCAUAUUAUUCCGUUGUUUACUGAUCUAUGAGCCAUUACAUUACUAGUGCCACAAAAAUACCUUUUAUAACCCAAUAUAGUUUAUUACAUGUCAUCUUAUACUUAUUCAAUAAAUGGUAAUGAUUCAGAUGCCCUGUUAUACUUCUUGU